rnacentral:rRNA from 1 species
CAGGUAGCAAUACCGCUGACGACCGGCGCACGGGUGAGUAACGCGUAUGCAACCUGCCUAUAACUGGGGAAUAGCUCCCGUGAAAGGGGAAUUAACACCGCAUAACACUAUUGAUUCGCAUGGAUUGGUAGUUAAAUGUAGCGAUACAGGUUAUAGAUGGGCAUGCGUGACAUUAGCUAGUUGGUGAGGUAACGGCUCACCAAGGCUACGAUGUCUAGGGGUUCUGAGAGGAAGGUCCCCACACUGGUACUGAGACACGGACCAGACUCCUACGGGAGGCAGCAGUGAGGAAUAUUGGUCAAUGGGCGCAAGGCCUGAACCAGCCAUGUCGCGUGCAGGAAGACUGCCCCUAUGGGUUGUAAACUGCUUUUAUAGUAGAAGAAACACAUCUACGUGUAGAUGUCUGCCAGUAUACUAUGAAUAAGCAUCGGCUAACUCCGUGCCAGCAGCUGC